rnacentral:rRNA from 1 species
AACGAACGCUGGCGGCGUGCCUAACACAUGCAAGUCGGGGGAGAAAGGGAGCUUCGGCUCCCGAGUAAACCGGCGCACGGGUGAGUAAUACGUAGGUAACGUGCCCACCGAGUCCGGGAUAACCAGUCGAAGACUGGCUAAUACCGGAUACGACCGAGAGGGCUUCGGCUCUCACGGUGAAAGAUGGCCUCUGCUUGCAAGCUAUCACUCAUGGAGCGGCCUGCGCACCAUUAGCUAGUUGGUGAGGUAACGGCUCACCAAGGCCGAGAUGGUUAGCUGGUCUGAGAGGAUGGCCAGCCACACUGGGACUGAGACACGGCCCAGACUCCUACGGGAGGCAGCAGUGGGGAAUAUUGCGCAAUGGGCGAAAGCCUGACGCAGCGACGCCGCGUGGGUG